rnacentral:rRNA from 1 species
UACGGAGGGAGCUAGCGUUAUUCGGAAUUACUGGGCGUAAAGCGCACGUAGGCGGCUUUGUAAGUAGGAGGUGAAAGCCCAGAGCUCAACUCUGGAAUUGCCUUUUAGACUGCAUCGCUUGAAUCAUGGAGAGGUCAGUGGAAUUCCGAGUGUAGAGGUGAAAUUCGUAGAUAUUCGGAAGAACACCAGUGGCGAAGGCGGCUGACUGGACAUGUAUUGACGCUGAGGUGCGAAAGCGUGGGGAGCAAACAGG